rnacentral:rRNA from 1 species
UACGGGGGGGGUAAGCGUUGUUCGGAAUUACUGGGCGUCAAGGGCUCGUAGGCGGCCAACUAAGUCGGACGUGAAAUCCCUCAGCUUAACUGGGGAACUGCGUCCGAUACUGGAUGGCUUGGAUUUGGGAGAGGGAUGCGGAAUUCCAGGUGUAGCGGUGAAAUGCGUAGAUAUCUGGAGGAACACCGGUGGCGAAGGCGGCAUCCUGGACCAAUAUUGACGCUGAGGAGCGAAAGCUAGGGGAGCAAACGGG